rnacentral:rRNA from 1 species
UACGGAGGGGGCAAGCGUUGUUCGGAAUUAUUGGGCGUAAAGGGCGCGUAGGCGGGUAGGUAAGUCUGGUGUGAAAACUUCGCCGCUCAACGGGAAGAGUGCACCAGAAACUGCCCAUCUUGAGUGCGAGAGAGGUGAGUGGAAUUCCUGGUGUAGCGGUGGAAUGCGUAGAUAUCAGGAAGAACACCGGUGGCGAAGGCGGCUCACUGGCUCGCAACUGACGCUGAGGCGCGAAAGCCAGGGGAGCGAACGGGAUUAGAUACCCCCGUA